rnacentral:lncRNA from 11 species
AAGAAGUCAAGGGGAAGAGGAAGUGGAGUUUGUAUGAGAAAUGUUGGAAAUAAAUCAAUAGGAGAUUGCAUAAACAUGAAAAUAAAUAGGAUAUUCUCCCAAGUACAGUGAGACCCAGUAUCCAUGUGGGAUAUGUUCACCUCUGUACUGAAGUCAUGUAAGCAAACAUCAUUGAAUUAUUUUUUUAA